UCUGAGAUAGAUGAGUUUUUGAGAUUCUGGUUAUGUGUUGAUGGAUGUGAUACACUGGACGGGUUAGAUGCUAGGUUUGAGUGAAAUUUUACUCCUUGUAUCCGUGGACCCGAUUGCAUGACCAAAAAUUUUGGGAGUUCUUAGGUGGGAAUUCAAGUAGUUACUUAUAGGACAAUCUUCCAACAAAUGCAUGAUGUGAGGUUGGGGUUCGACAUCUAGUGGAUUCGUUUGUUCACGGUCGUCUUACAUCGGUUCUCGUUGUGUCUUGAAGAGUCCUUGUAGUUUACUACGACUCGAGGAUGCUUCGUAUGUCGUGUGCACUGCCUUGUACAUGAUGGCUACUGUAGGAUCGAGCCCGUGCGAAUCUAUCCACAAAAAUUUCGAACGGAAUCUCUUUUAUGAAUUUGUUCUGGCUUGUUUCGUAAGCGUCAUCCUUUGUUUUGUUGGAAUAUGGUAAUUCGAGUUGCUUCAAUGUCAAGUGGUGAAUUCAUAUCUUUUCCAAGUUGUGUUCUCAUAUUUUUGGGAAUGCAAGUUCUUUGCUCAAUCAAGCUGUCUUAUCAAUUUUUUUCAACCGGUGUGCUUUUCUUCAAGUGAAUUCAAUCCUUUCCAAUUUUGCAAGAUCAAUCUCUCAUUUCUUUCCGGAGUUCAUCUC
rnacentral:lncRNA from 1 species